GCAGGCCUAACACAUGCAAGUCGAGCGGAUGAGUAGAGCUUGCUCUUCGAUUCAGCGGCGGACGGGUGAGUAAUGCCUAGGAAUCUGCCUGGUAGUGGGGGACAACGUUUCGAAAGGAACGCUAAUACCGCAUACGUCCUACGGGAGAAAGCAGGGGACCUUCGGGCCUUGCGCUAUCAGAUGAGCCUAGGUCGGAUUAGCUAGUUGGUGAGGUAAUGGCUCACCAAGGCGACGAUCCGUAGCGGGUCUGAGAGGAUGAUCCGUCACACUGGGACUGAGACACGGCCCAGACUCCUACGGGAGGCAGCAGUGGGGAAUAUUGCACAAUGGGCGCAAGCCUGAUGCAGCGACGCCGCGUGAGGGAUGACGGCCUUCGGGUUGUAAACCUCUUUCAGUAGGGAAGAAGCGAAAGUGACGGUACCUGCAGAAGAAGCACCGGCUAACUACGUGCCAGCAGCCGCGGUAAUACGUAGGGUGCGAGCGUUGUCCGGAAUUACUGGGCGUAAAGGGCUCGUAGGUGGUUGAUCGCGUCGGAAGUGUAAUCUUGGGGCUUAACCCUGAGCGUGCUUUCGAUACGGGUUGACUUGAGGAAGGUAGGGGAGAAUGGAAUUCCUGGUGGAGCGGUGGAAUGCGCAGAUAUCAGGAGGAACACCGAUGGCGAAGGCAGGUCUCUGGGCUGUAACUGACGCUGAGGAGCGAAAGCAUGGGGAGCGAACAGGAUUAGAUACCCUGGUAGUCCACGCUGUAAACGAUGAUCACUCGCUGCUAGCGAUAUACUGUUAGUGGCCAAGCGAAAGCAUUAAGUGAUCCACCUGGGGAGUACGCUCGCAAGAGUGAAACUCAAAG
rnacentral:rRNA from 1 species